GAAACCCAUGACAUCAAUUAAAUCCUCAUUUCUUAUUUCCUUGGUUCAUGUGAUCAUCAUUAUAGGUAUGUAUAAAAUCUCAGUGUGGCAUAAUUAUGUAAUUCCUUAAACAAAGGAGCUCUAGUAUCCUGGUUAGGAGAGGCAGGAGUCUAAAACCUUGCUGGUUACAAUACUGAAAGCAUUGUGAGAGCCUAAACUAUGUCUUUUUCCUUGUUGUUUCUCCACAUCAUGUAGCUCAGACCAAGGAACAAAAAAGAAGUUUAGUAAGUGGUUCCUAUGGAGACACUGAUGCUUGAUCUACGCAGUUACCUCCGCGUUCAAUUACUGAUGGUCUGUCGCAACUUGACAGGUUCUGGCCUCUGUCUCCUCUUUGACCAGCCCAGUGUCCAUAACAGGAGCUGUUCCCAUGUGCACUUUCUGAGAAGGGUAGAG
rnacentral:lncRNA from 1 species